rnacentral:rRNA from 1 species
AAGCGUUCCUGACCAGACUUGGGCAGGUUGAUCAUCCGUGGUUCUCCGCGGUGCACUCUGCCUGCCCAGGCCAGCAUCAGUUCGCCCCGGGUGUGAGGGGUGUCGGGAAUGUGGCUCCUCCGGGAGUGUUAUAGCCCGUUGCGUAAUACCC